rnacentral:rRNA from 1 species
UACGUAGGGUGCUAGCGUUGCUCGGAAUACUGGGCGUAAAGCACAUGUAGGCGGAUCUAUAAGCUGGGAGUGCAAUCCCUGGGCUUAACCCAGGAACUGCUUCCAGGACUAUAGAUCUUGAGUAUGGUAGAGGAUAGUGGAAUUUCUAGUGUAGGGGUUAAAUCCUUAGAUAUUAGAAAGAACACCAAAAGCGAAGGCAGCUAUCUGGGCCAUUACUGACGCUGAGAUGUGACAGUGUGGGGAGCAAACAGG